rnacentral:rRNA from 1 species
UACGUAGGAGGCAAGCGUUGUCCGGAAUUACUGGGCGUAAAGCGUCCGUAGGCGGCUAAUCAAGUCUGCUGUCAAAGCGUGGAGCUUAACUCCAUACCGGCGGUGGAAACUGAUGAGCUAGAGUGCGAUAGGGGUAGCAGGAAUUCCCAGUGUAGCGGUGAAAUGCGUAGAGAUUGGGAAGAACACCAGCGGCGAAAGCGUGCUACUGGGUCUGCACUGACACUGAGGGACGAAAGCUAGGGGAGCGAAAGGG